UACGAAGGGGGCGAGCGUUGUUCGGAAUUACUGGGCGUAAAGGGCGCGCAGGCGGCUCUUGAAGUCAGGCGUGAAAGCCCCGGGCUCAACCUGGGAGGUGCGCUUGAUACUCGAGGGCUUGAGUGCGGGAGAGGAGAGUGGAAUUCCCAGUGUAGAGGUGAAAUGCGCAGAUAUCAGGAAGAACACCCGUGGCGAAGGCGGCUAUCUGGACCGUAACUGACGCUGAGACACGAAAGCGUGGGUAGCAAACAGG
rnacentral:rRNA from 1 species